UGAUAUAUAUUUUUUUAUAAAAAAUUUAUAAUAGGUAAACUCGUACGAGUCUAUGAGUCGAGUCUAGGUUAGCUCCACGAGUUUACCUAGACUCGCGAGUUUGACAACCUUGCAAAAAAAUACAUAA